GAUGUUGUGCCGGAUGAAACGGAUUACAUUGAUGUUGUAAAAUAUAAGCUUGGCUUCAACAUUA
rnacentral:tRNA from 1 species